rnacentral:rRNA from 1 species
CAGUCGCCGCGGUAAUACGUAGGGUGCAAGCGUUAAUCGGAAUUACUGGGCGUAAAGCGUGCGCAGGCGGUUAUAUAAGACAGAUGUGAAAUCCCCGGGCUCAACCUGGGAACUGCAUUUGUGACUGUAUAGCUAGAGUACGGCAGAGGGGGAUGGAAUUCCGCGUGUAGCAGUGAAAUGCGUAGAUAUGCGGAGGAACACCGAUGGCGAAGGCAAUCCCCUGGGCCUGUACUGACGCUCAUGCACGAAAGCGUGGGGAGCAAACAGGAUUAGAUACCCCCGUAGUCUCUGUCUCUUAUAC